GUAUGGCUGAAUACUGUGUUCUUUUUAUCAUUAGUAGCUUACACAGCCAGACACUACACAAAAGUAAAGUCUUCCCUUUAAAAUGGCUAUGAUGGUAUGCCAAGUUUUUUCAUAGCAUAUCAUUACUAAAAGUAGACAUAAAU